rnacentral:misc_RNA from 1 species
CACUCUUCUUUCCACCUUAAUUUCUUUUUUUUUUUCUUUUUUAAUUUUGUUAUGAGCAGCAAAUUUUAUUAAAAAUCACUAGGCAUGUUCUUUUAUUCCACUAAGAUACAUAUAGAAACCAAAAAUCUACAUAAGUAAUGGAAAUUUUGUUAUUACAAGAAAAUGAUAGAUCCUAUUAAAGACAGAAAAAUCAAACAAAAAGAAAUUAAGGUGGAAAGAAGAGUG